rnacentral:rRNA from 1 species
UGGGGAAUUUUGGACAAUGGGGGCAACCCUGAUCCAGCCAUGCCGCGUGUGUGAAGAAGGCCUUCGGGUUGUAAAGCACUUUCGGACGGAACGAAAUCGCGCGGGCGAAUACCCCGCGUGGAUGACGGUACCGUAAGAAGAAGCACCGGCUAACUACGUGCCAGCAGCCGCGGUAAUACAGAGGGUGCAAGCGUUAAUCGGAAUGACUGGGCGUAAAGGGCGCGUAGGUGGACAUAUAAGUAAAUUGUGAAAGACCCGGGCUUAACCUGGGAAGGUCAAUUUAAACGGUAUGUCUGGAGUGGAGUAGAGGGAAGUAGAAUUUCCGGUGUAGCGGUGAAAUGCGUAGAUAUCGGAAGGAAUACCGGUGGCGAAGGCGUCUUCCUGGACUCUAACUGACACUGAGGCGCGAAAGCAUGGGGAUCAAACGGGAUUAGAUACCCCUGUAGUCCCUGAGCGGGCUGGCAAGGCGCAU